rfam:Synechococcus sp. JA-2-3B'a(2-13), complete genome.
GGAGAGGUGUCCGAGCGGUUUAAGGAAGCAGUCUUGAAAACUGCCGUGGUUGACGCCACCGUGGGUUCGAAUCCCACCCUCUCCG